rnacentral:rRNA from 1 species
GACGAACGCUGGCGGCGUGCUUAACACAUGCAAGUCCAACGGAAAGGCCCUGCUUUUGUGGGGUGCUCGAGUGGCGAACGGGUGAGUAACACGUGAGUAACCUGCCCUUGACUUUGGGAUAACUUCAGGAAACUGGGGCUAAUACCGGAUAGGAGCUCCUGCUGCAUGGUGGGGGUUGGAAAGUUUCGGCGGUUGGGGGUGGACUCGCGGCUUAUCAGCUUGUUGGUGGGGUAGUGGCUUACCAAGGCUUUGACGGGUAGCCGGCCUGAGAGGGUGACCGGCCACAUUGGGACUGAGAUACGGCCCAGACUCCUACGGGAGGCAGCAGUGGGGAAUAUUGCACAAUGGGCGGAAGCCUGAUGCAGCAACGCCGCGUGCGGGAUGACGGCCUUCGGGUUGUAAACCGCUUUCGCCUGUGACGAAGCGUGAGUGACGGUAAUGGGUAAAGAAGCACCGGCUAACUACGUG